UACGUAGGGGGCAAGCGUUGUCCGGAAUCAUUGGGCGUAAAGAGCGUGUAGGCGGUUCGGUAAGUCGGCUGUGAAAGUCCAGGGCUCAACCCUGGGAUGCCGGUCGAUACUGCCGGACUAGAGUUCGGAAGAGGCGAGUGGAAUUCCCGGUGUAGCGGUGAAAUGCGCAGAUAUCAGGAAGAACACCCGUGGCGAAGGCGGCUCUCUGGGACGGUACUGACGCUGAGACGCGAAAGCGUGGGGAGCGAACAGG
rnacentral:rRNA from 1 species